GACGAACGCUGGCGGCGUGCUUAACACAUGCAAGUCGAGCGGUAAGGCCUUUCGGGGUCCCCGAGCGGCGAACGGGUGAGUAACACGUGGGUGAUCUGCCCUGCACUUCGGGAUAAGCCUGGGAAACUGGGUCUAAUACCGGAUAUGACCUCCUAUCGCAUGGUGGGUGGUGGAAAGAUUUAUCGGUGCAGGAUGGGCCCGCGGCCUAUCAGCUUGUUGGUGGGGUAAUGGCCUACCAAGGCGACGACGGGUAGCCGACCUGAGAGGGUGACCGGCCACACUGGGACUGAGAAACGGCCCAGACUCCUACGGGAGGCAGCAGUGGGGAAUAUUGCACAAUGGGCGAAAGCCUGAUGCAGCGACGCCGCGUGAGGGAUGACGGCCUUCGGGUUGUAAACCUCUUUCAGCAGGGACGAAGCGCAAGUGACGGUACCUGCAGAAGAAGCACCGGCUAACUACGUG
rnacentral:rRNA from 1 species